rnacentral:ncRNA from 1 species
CCGGCUCCGGUUCACGUGCCACCCACCAGGGGUGCGCACGACCCGGCGGCC